rnacentral:lncRNA from 1 species
GAUUAGGCAGGACAUGACCAGAAUGCAGGUUUUCGAGGACAUGACCCUUGAUAGGGGAGUCUGGAGGUCUAGAAUCAGGAUUGUAGGCUAGGGGCUCAUAGAGUUCUUCGUACGCCUCUACCGGGGUUGGGUGGGAUAGUAGGGUUACCCAUAGGUGAUUAGUGUUUUAGCUUAUGCCCCCAUAUGGUUGUUAGUAUGGUAGUUACUGAUUGUUACUAUUGCAUGCGAC